AGGUAGAGUAUUUUAUUCAAUAGAGUAAAUUCAAUAAAUCAAAUACAUAAAAGAGGGAGUCAUGAUGGUAUUGACUAAAAAUUGGAAACUUUCAUAUCAAUACAUAAAUUUAUUAAUUAAAGCAAUACAGUACACAUAAAACAACUUUAAAGAAGAUGAAGUAAUGUAAUAUAAAUUAGGAGAAUUCGAUCUCAAAAUACCAUUUGGUGUGAUCCUUUGUUCCCCUUAAAAUCCAAUAUUUGACAAUUCAUCUUAGGCAGUCACGUUUGUAUCGGGGGCAUGCUUUUCGAGUACCAGGAUUUGAUACAGGAAGGCAGUAGCGGUUCCCCGGACGGCAAUCAAGAGCAGGACGGUUAGGAUUUCCCACGCCGCCAGUUGCGCUAUUGGUGCUAGCUGUAAGCAUUCUGUUAGUCUCGGAGUCCAUCAUCAACUCUAAUUCCAUGUUGGUAUCUGCCAUGGAAAAGGAAAAGGAGUUGUUGCUAAUCAUUUCCUGCGGAGUACUAACAGCUCCCAGACAACUGCUUCUGCUCAUCAGAAUCAAAAUCACCACCACCGCUAGAGAAAGACUCCUCAUUCUGCCUUUUUUUUUAGUACUAUUUUCUAGUGUCGGUGUUUAUUUCAUAUGAAAAUACAGCUGGGAAGAGAGCUCUAAAUAGUAAAGUGGUGGUUUUUUGACAUUGACUUAUUGGCUGCAUUCGAAAUUGCUCCACUUAAGAAAUUGAUUUGGACCAAGAGAUAAUGGAUAAUGAGUCCACCAUAUCCUUAUCUUUAAGAUUUUAUUUAAUGUAUUUAUGAGUGUAUUAUAACUAGUGUAAUUGAUUGGUGAAUAGAGUGAGUGAUUGAUCCCUUCAUGACUCUAUUUCACCCAUUUUCAUAACUUAGCAAUAAUAAUUAUUUGUGAGUGGUUGCCUAUAUCACGACAAUCAUAGAGGUAAAAUAUCAACAUUUCCUAAACAUUAUACAACUAGUUAUAUACGGCCUGCUCGUCGAGCGAAUAUUUAUUUAUUUUUUUUAUUAUUUGAAAAAAUAUUAAUAUUUAUUGGAAAAAAAUAAAAAUAUUAAUUAUGUAAUUAUUUUAUUUAAUAAUUUAAAAAUAAUAUUAAUGAUAUUAUUAAUUUAAUUAUUUAUUAUCAAAAGCUUAAACAUUUUAUUAUUUUAAAAGAAUAUUAAUGAUAUUAUUAAAUUUUUUAAACAAUUGAACAAUAUCAUUAAAAAUGGUAGAUCAUAUUAAUUCGAACUCAAAAUAACUUAAAAGAAAAUUAAAUUAUAAAACAAUUAAAAAAAUAAAAAAUAAAAAAUAAAAUGAAAAGGAAAAAUAGAUAUAAAUAAAAACUAAUUUCUAUAUUUCCGCUCUGGUACUUCACAUAUCAAUAUGCUAACUGUAGGACAACUCAAGGAGGUCUGAGUUCUUCCAUGUUGAGCUUGUUGAAGAUGGAUAGUGGCAUCACACUUAUAUCAGCUCCUAAAUCACAUAAAGCUUUAUCAAUCUUCACUGCUCCGACUUCCACACAAGAAGGAAAAACUUCCUUAAUCUUUCAUUUUUGGUGGCAGCUUAUUUUGGAUCAUUGCAUUACAAUUCUCAGAAAGUGCCACUAUUUCCAAUUCUUUUAUUUUCCAUUUCUUCGUCAAAAUUUCUUUCAAAAAUUUAGCUAUGUCGACAUCUGAGCUGAGGCGGUGCCAAAGCCAGUGAAGUGGGGUCAAUUGACCCACUCAACUUUUAAAAACAAUUUAUAAAUAGGACUUAAUUGAUAAAAAAAAUGAAAAGUAUAUAUUAAGUGAAAAAUUGUAGAGCUUUUAAUCUAAUUGACCCCACUACAAAUGAAAUUAAAUAAAUGGCCCAACUGAAAAUCAUUUCUAGCUCCGCCACUGCAUCUGGGUCAUGAUGUAUUAAAAUGGAAUGUUAACAUAUAAUUAUUUUAGCAUCUCCAAAAAUUUCUCAAAUUGCCUAUUUUGGUUCGUUUAUCAGAGUCACUAUGGAAUGAAAUAACUUCCUCUUAAAGCCUUUUAUUCUCCUUUGAAUAUUCUCUUCUUGUCUUUUCUUUCUUACUUCAUCGUCUUCAGCUGUUUCAUGGUACUUUCUAAUUGCCACCCAAAUACUCACGAUUUUUUUCACUUAAAUGGGUUGAUAGUCACAAGUAUAUAAGGUUAUUGCAAUACCGGAUAAAUCUCUUGUUUUGUAUUUGAAAAAAAUGGCAUCGAAUGUUACUUUUGUUUUCUACAUGCUUUUUUGGAAGUUUGUGUACCGCAAAGCCUAUAGUUAGUGCAUGGAGAUUUUCUCACACAUAGGUAGUAAAGAGUAGCUAGAGCCUCAGAAGAGGAUCGUGAUCUACAUCGAUAUUAGAGUUACUUUUCUUUUUGGGUAGAAGAUCUUAUUUCUUAUAAUAGAGUAGGACAAACUUAUAUUUGGAAUGUACAAAUGUUUAUUACAUAUAUAAGAGAUUUAUAAAGAAAAAUUUUGUAUGAGCUUACAUAUUGGAAAAACCUUUAAUAGAUUAUAUAUGGACGAUUUUUUGAAAGUGAUUUGUGAAGUUUAAGCUGAUCGAUUGAAUGUAGUUAUGUGGAGUUAAAAGUGGGAAGUUUUAGAAGUGUUUUAUUAACAAGUUAAAAAUCUCGAGGAUGUUAGGAUUUUAAAGAAAACUCUUGCAUUUUUUCCGUUAAAAUAUAAGUUAAGAAAUAUAAAAAUAUACAUGUUUUAGGAUAAUAAUGGUUAAGUUUGAGAUAUGAGUUAUUGAUUAUAGAUUUAGUGCUCUUAGCGCAAUAUGUGGUAUCUCUUAUUUGGACUAUUUAUCGACCCGAUGGUUUAUCUAUAAUCCGAAUAAAAGUGUUACACGAGAAGUAUGAGUUGAUUAUUUGAAAAUAGUUAUUUGAGGUUUAAGAUUUGAUAUUAUGUUAGCAUUUUCUAAGCAAGUUUAUAAAUUAGAAAUGUUAAGAUUAUAGGGGAAAUUCUUAUAGGUUUUUUGUAGAAAUUUUAUAUACGGUUAUUGCAUGUUAGUAAUGUUACUUUGUAAGUCAGAAUCAUAUAAUAGGAAGUUACAAAAUUAGUAUAUUUGGCAUAGCAUGCGGUGAUUUAUCAAAUGCAAUCAUGUUAGUAAUGACAGAGAAGUGGCUGUGGUAGCAGAUCGGAGAUGUUAAGAAAUGAGUAAAUACUGCAUGACAGAGAGUCCUGUGGUUUCUAUGCCAACCACAAAGCGUUUGACCAAUAUACGUCACGUCGUUGUUUCGUUAACCUGAGAAUUACAGUUACGAAUAAAAGAUCAAGCAUCGAAUAUCUCCAUCCAUAGCGAGACAUAAUUGCCACAUAAGCAUUGCAACGGCAGAGAGAAUGAAUACCACCACCCACAAUGAGAAUCAAUGCCAGCAAUUCUGGAUCUUACCUUCUCAGAACAUCCUCCCCCUCUUUGCCCAACCUCCCCCUGCCACUCGCUAUCUUCAUAUCAUAACGAUCUUUCCAAAACCAGUGGCUAUCCCAACCAUUCACGACAACAAAGCCGUCUUUUCUUGUCGCUAUUUCAUUUUGAUUUACUCUUGAUCAUUUAUCUACAAUCUCUCGAUCAUAUUAAUUUGCUUUCCUUUAAAUGCUCAUAUAUUUAUCUUCGUCAGUGGACAGAGCUCACUGCUGUAACAAAUAGCAGGACAACCCUUGGCUUUUAUCUCCAUCAAGUCAUCCCUUCACUGCACAAGGUCAUUGUUGCUUUCUUUCUCUACUACUCUUUUCUCACUGGUUAGGUUAAACAACUGAUUUAAUUAUUGCUGCUCUUACAUGGCUGCCAGGUGUGUGAUUCAAUUGAUUUGAUGAUGACUUUUUAUGUGGUCAGCUUGAAACUGACGCAAUAGUUGUAGCGAUUGAUUAUAAAGGCUGAGGUCAAUGCCAUCAACAUUUCUACCCACACGUGCCUGCAGAAUUAUCUGAAACAAAACACAAUACCAGUGUAUGUUAACAACAAAUUGAAAUGAGAGGAAUGGGUGGGGAGACAAGGAAGAGAGGGAGAGUCAAAGUGACCAGUGCAGCAAACCCAUGAAUGAAUUAUUUCAGUCUUACCUCAUUAUCAGAUUGAAUAUGCAGUUCACCGAUGAACUGGUAGAUGGAACCAAUUCGGAAGCUAAGGUUUCUCAAGUGUUGGGUGUCAAUCUUCAGAAUAGCAUUUCCAUCAACAAUUAUAGCUAUGGCAGUUUCCACAGAAUAUUCUUGUAACCUGCAGGAGAAACAAAAGAUUUUCUAACAUGUUGCAGCAUAAGAUAAUGAACUAACAAUAUAAAAGCGUAAAUUACACAUGGUUGAACUGCUAGACUCUCCUAAUAGGACAAACAUCCCAUAGAUGAAACUCACAAUGAAUGGAAGUCGCCAUUUGUUUCAAAUAAUUUAAUCUGUNNNNNNNNNNNNNNNNNNNNNNNNNNNNNNNNNNNNNNNNNNNNNNNNNNNNNNNNNNNNNNNNNNNNNNNNNNNNNNNNNNNNNNNNNNNNNNNNNNNNNNNNNNNNNNNNNNNNNNNNNNNNNNNNNNNNNNNNNNNNNNNNNNNNNNNNNNNNNNNNNNNNNNNNNNNAUUUAUCAGCCAUCAUUAGAUUUCUCUAACCUAAUACUAAUAUUUCUGGCAUGUAGUCGGUUCCUAUUAAAGUCAUGUGAAGGAAGACAAGGAUUUUUUGAUGUAGGUGCUGAUUUGAUGUGUAAUGUUCCUUGGACAAACAACUUCAAUACCUCAGAAUAUGUGUUAGGCAUACCCUUCAAAUCAAUUCUGUCCAACACUCUGCUGCAACGACCGAUGCCAUCGCUUAUUCCCCUUGCUGCAACAUUGCUCCCUUUUCCCAUAGAAUUACUACCACCUAUACCAUGCCACCAAAUCCCAUAAGAUCACGACUGCAAUUUGGCUCUUCCAAUUAUAAAUUUAUUAUCAUAAUCUAAACCUAUAUAGCAAGUGCAUUUGCCCCCAUGUCUCAUCUUUAUGACCAUGUCCUCUACCUCAUCCGAACCUUUGAGACUACCACCAACAAAUAACUUUUAGACUUUAGUUAUCACCAUAUCACCUCAAAAAGCCCUUCCUUGAGGUUCCUCUCCAAACAUAUCCAACAAAAAUAAAACCACAUUAUUAUCAAUAUCAUUACCCAACACACAAACUUCCAUCAUUAUUUUAAACCACCAUUUUCAUUUCAAUCUCACAUGUUUUCUCUCCAACAAAUAAAACCACCAAUACAGAUUCUCAAAUUAAUUACACUUUCUUCCAACAAGGGAAAACUGUCCAACUUCUAUGUUAGACUAUAUCUACUACAAGCAUUACAAAAAUCCUACAAGAACACAAAUAUCAAAAAUCACAGUACAAUGCAAUUGGGGAAGGAAUGUAACGAAGUAGGUAUAUAAUAGUUAAAUAAUAAUAAUAAUAAUAAUAAACUGAUACGAACAUUAGAAGGGCUUAAGACCUUACUUUCCAGUGAUUCUAAGUGAUGCUCCUUGCUUAAAGAAAGGUGAUGAUGGUUGCAAAUCUUUCAACAUCACCAAUUCCCCAUGUUUAAUUGCAGGAAGUGCCAUUAAACCAACACUACUCACCCCCAAAGGCAGCUGAAUUCUACCUGCAAAUUAAGGAAUACAAUGAUACAAAAGAAAAUACAAAAUGACCAACAUAUCUCAAAACACGAGUUAUACAUUGUAGAAAACCAAAAAACUUUCAUCAUUUACUUUCAGAACAACAAUGUAGGAAACCCAACAAAACCUCAGAAUUAAUACCAUUUCAAAAGCAUAGUCAAGCAAAUUUAUCCACAAACCACAAAUCACAUAAACUAUCUCAAAAUUAAGCAUUCAAAUUACCAUAAAUCACAUAAACUAAAUUAUGGCUGUCCCAACUCCUAAGAAUCCAUAUCAAAUAUAGUUGAAACAACAAACCCUAAGGAAUUGGCAAACAUUUAAAUCAAAUAAUUCGACAUCAACAAGUGAGUAAAAUAAUCAACUGAAAUAGACACAAUAACACUGAAAAGAAAGUUGUUAAUUUGCAAUUGAAGUUUACCCAUAUAUCAAAAGCAAUUCUAAGCAUUCGUUCAACUGAGAACGAAAGGAAGAGGGAGGAAGCAAAACGGAAAAAAAAAAAAAAAAUGAGAAUGAAAUCAAAAAAAAAUCAAGAACGAACCUGUGGCUGAAAAGCACUUGUACGCUUGAAGAGCACGAGCUGCGGAGGCGAUGGCCAGGAACGAAAGCAACGGGAAGGUAUCUGGCAGUAUAAGUGCAGAAACGAGCGGCGCAGGGAAGGGAGGGAGGAGAAAAUACGUUCGACUUGAGUUGAGUUUGAGAGAACUUUCCCUUUGUAUGAGUAAAUUCCAACCCUAGGCUAAAACGACGUGAUUUUGGUUCUGGAUUCAUUUAAACCUCCUACAUCAAAAUUACGUCGUUCGUCGUUUUGAUGGUAAAAUAAUCAUUUUUAUUAUUAUUAUUAUUAUUAUUAUUAAAGUUAUUAUUAUUCUUAAAGUUACUAGUGUUCAAGAACGUGUGAUACACGUUUUUACUCAUUGAACAUACCCGUAAAAUGAUUAUUUAUAAUUUAUUUUUUUUAUAUAUUUUUAUUAAUUUUUAUAAAGACAAUAUAAAAAUUCAAUAUUUUUAGUUACAAUUAUUAUAUGUAUAAAAAUAUAUAUGCAAACCACUAUCAUACAUAGUUAUAAUUAUUUGAUGAAAAAUUUUAAUAAUUGUUUAUAAUAGAUUUUUUGACAAAAUGGAAUAGUAACAAAGUUGAAAAUAAAUAACCAUUUGAUCCAAGAUUUUGUCAUACAUAAAAAUAAAUACAUAUAUAAAUUAUUAGUAAUCAAAUUUAAAAUUUUUUUUGCGAUAGCAUACCAAAAAAAAAAAAUAAAAAGUUAAAAUUAGGACCUUAGCCAUUAAUAACAAUACAGUCAGAAGCUUUCAAUAUAGCAAUAGCAAAGAAACUUAUAAUAGUAGAGAGUCUUUAAUGAAUUAUUGAUAAUAAAAGUAAAAAAUCUUUAAUAGUAGCCAAAGAAAAUAUAGUUAUUUGAUAAAUUAAAUUUUCAAUUGAGUUAUAAUUUAAACCUUUAUCCUUUAUUAUCAUAAUAAUAGAUGUAAUAUUAAAUCAAAGUAUAAUAAAUUUUUAAAUUAAAAAUAUGGAACAACUUAAAAAAAAAAAAAAGAAGUGUUAAAUAUUAAAAAAAUUACAAUCAUGAUUUAAAUAAAUUUUUAUAAAAAAAUUUAAUAAAUUUAUCCUAAUUUAAAAUUGAUAAAGAAAUUUAGAUUACGGAUAAAAUAAUUAAUACCUUCAAGAGAAUAAUAAGGCUAAAAGUAGCUAAUAAUAUUAACAAAGUAAACAAAAUGAAAUAUGAAGAAAAGAAAAUAAUUUCAAUUUAUAAUUUAUAAAUUUGAUUAUUUUUAGAUUUUUAUAUAAAAUACUUAAGUCAUUUUCUAAUAAAACUAUAAAUAUGAUUGAUUUAAUAUUGGAUUCAAUCAAAACUUCUAUAAUAAGAUUUUUAUUCCUAAUUAAGAUUGGAUAGAAAUUUUCAGUUACCUUUUCUAAUAUAUAUUUGAUUUAAUAUUAAUAAAACAUAUAUAUAGAGGAAGUUAUAAUUAUACUUAUCGCAAGAAUAAAAAAUGAUUGUAAAUUCAAUAAUUCCAAAUUAGCAAAACUUGAUAAAAUAACUUGAUAGUCAAAAGCAAUAAAUUCAUUAUAGUCAAGAGUAACAAAUUCUUGAUGGUCAAAACUCAAAAGCAAUAAAAACCAAACGUAUACAGUGGUAUGAUAGGAUAAAAUCCUAAUUAAAAUAGUAUUAAAGUUCAAAUUCCUAAUUAGAGUUGGAUUAAAUUUAUAAUAUUAAUAUAAUAAAAGUAAUAAAUUGAUAUCAUAAUUAGAAUAGAAUUAAAGUUAAAUUCCUAAUUAGUAGGGAUGGCAACAAGUGGGGUUCAAGUCGAGUAGUGCAAUACCCAUGCCCAAACUCAAUCUCAUCCUCAAUCCUCAUACCCUAUUGGGUAGGAUUGAAUGCUAUACCCAUUCCAAAAUCCAAUAGGUUUGGAUAUAUCCACAAGUAUCCAUUAUCCGUGGGUGCCCAUGCGUAUCCAUUAUCCACAGAUACCUAUUUAUCCACAGAUACCCAUUUAUCUACAAACUCAUAUUUUGUAAAAAUUAAAGUAUAUUGAAUUAAAAAAAUUAAAGUGUUUAUUUAGAUGGUUUAUAUAAUACAUAAAAAAUGUGAAAAUAAAUUAAUAUAUACAUGAAUGUUCUCAUAAUUGUAAAUUAAAAUUUUAAUUCCAAAGUUGUUCUUCUUGUCAUAAUACUUCACUCAAAUGUAAUAGUAGCAUACUCUUCAAGUGUAAUUAUAAUAAAAAUCAAUUAAUAGAAUAACUAAAAAUAUCAUAUAACAAAAUUAUUAAACGUAAAAUAUUAUUAUAUGAACACUCUAAAUCCCCUUUCAAAAAAAAAAAAAAAAACACACUCUAUAUCAUUAUUGUCAUUAUGAUUUUUAUCCAUUAUUUCAAAUUGAAGUUUAAAUUAAAUAUUAGAAAUUAAAUUUUAAAUUUCAAAAUCUAAAAUUUUAAAAAUUUGAUCAAUUCAAAUUCAUAAAUGAAAACUAGAGUGAAAUUAUUUUACACUAGACGACAUUAAAUCAAAAGUAAAAUUAUAAUUUAUAUAGAUAAUUUAUUACAAGUAACCCAAUUUAUUAAAACCUUCAUACUAUAAUUUUAAAAAAAUAUAUUAAAAUUUUAAAUCUCUGGGGUUUGAAUUUUGAGUGUAGGAUCGAGUUCGGGUUUAUAAUGCAAUAUCCAUACCCUACUUGUAUCCAAAAUAAAACUAUUGGAUUUUAACUAUAUCCUAUCCAAAACAAGUCAAAACCCUAAAAUUCGGGUUUUUGACUUGGUUCGGUUGGGUGCAUACCCAUCGGGUCGGGUUGAUUUUGUCAUCCCUAGUAAUUAGAAUGAGAUUAAAUUUAUAUUAUUAAUAAAAAAGAUCUACCAAUAAGGGAUUAAUAAAUUUAAAUAUCUUAUGUUAUAAUAUAUUUAAAUUAUAAGAUAUUAAAUCGUAGUAUUCUUAUAUGUAUAGAAAUUCCAAAAGUUUCCUAAUUAGAAAACGACUAAAUUAUUUUUAAUGAUAUUUUUAAUUAAUCAACUAAUAGAAUACCAAUAUAAUUAAGAGUUUUCUAAUUAUAAUAAGACUAAAUUAUUCUUCAAUCAACCAAGAAAAUUAAAAGUCUACAAGGGCGUUGUAGAAAUCCAAUGUUCCCCCUCUUUCGCACUUUUAUGUAUAGAUAUUUUGGAAUUCCUAUACAUGCAAAAAAAUUAUGAUUUAUUAUAUUAUAAUUGGACCAUUGAAAUUUCCACGGCUAUCUUACUUCCAUUGAAAUACUUGAAACUAAAAAAAUAAAAAAUAAAAGAUAUUAUCUUGAUAAAUAUUAAUCUUACAAUCCAAAUAAAAUUUAAAAUUUUAUUAAUAAAAUAUAAAAUAAAAGGAAGGAAGAAAAGAGAAAAGGAAGUGCAAGCAUACAAAGGAUGUGACAGAAAAGAGAUAUUGUUAUGUUCCAAAACCGUGGGCAGGACCAAUACUAGGGCCUGGCUGGGUUAAGGCCUCCUAGGCCCGUAGUAAGCCUAAAUCAGUUAAGCUCAAUCUUUUCACUGUUAUCGCUUGAGGCCAAAAACCAUAUUCUUAUAAUCAAGGCUCGAUUUGAUUAUGCACAAACGUAUUGAAAAUACAAAAUUAUAUAAUUAAUACAUAUAUCCACAUCAUUCAAUUACAACUACAAUUGCAGAACUCUAUAAUCUACAAUCUUUUACAUUUACAUGCUUAACACAACCAUUAAAAUUUUCUUUUAUUUGCCUAUCAACUCAUUAGGAUCCGUAGAGUUCUUCUUUCCUUCAGUUACCUAAAAAAAUAAAAGGCAGGGGUGAACGCCAAACUCAAUGAAUAAGGUUAGAUAACCCUCUCACUCCAUACAGUUACACAUAUGAUAAUCAUAUUAUACAAUCAGUAGCCCUCCGACUAGUUAUAAAAGAACAAGCAAGUAUGACACAGAGUCCUGUGGUUUCUACGCCAACCACAAAGCGUUUGACCAAUAUACGUCCCGUCGUUGUUUCGUUAACCUGAGAGUUACAGUUACGAAUAAAAGAUCAUGCAUCGAAUAUCACCAUCCAUAGCGAGACAUAAUUGCCACAUGAGCAUUGCAAUGGCAGAGAGAAUGAAUACCAUCACCAACAAUGAGAAUCAAUGCCAGCAAUUCUGGAACUUACCUUCUCAGAACAUCAUCUCCCUCUUUGUCCAAACUUCCCCUGCCACUCACUAUCUUCAUAUCAUAACGAUCUUACCAAAACCAGUGGCUAUCCCAACCAUUCACGACAACAAGGCCGUCUUUUCUUGUCGCUAUUUCAUUUUGAUUUACUCUUGAUCAUUUAUCUACAAUCUCUCCAUCAUAUUAAUUUGCUUUCCUUUAAAUGCUCAUAUAUUUAUGUUCGUCAGUGGACAGAGCUCACUGCUGUAGCAAACAGCAGGACAACCCUUGGCUUUUAUCUCCAUCAAGUCAUCUCUUCACUGCACAAGGUCAUUGUUGCUUUCUUUCUCUACUACUCUUUUCUCACUGGUUAGGUUAAACAACUGAUUUAAUUAUUGCUGCUCUUACAUGGCUGCCAGGUGUGUGAUUCAAUUGAUUUGAUGAUGACUUUUUAUGUGGUCAGCUUGAAACUGACGCAAUAGUUGUAGCGAUUGAUUAUAAAGGCUGAGGUCAAUGCCAUCAACAUUUCUACCCACACGUGCCUGCAGAAUUAUCUGAAACAAAACACAAUACCAGUGUAUGUUAACAACAAAUUGAAAUGAGAGGAAUGGGUGGGGAGACAAGGAAGAGAGGGAGAGUCAAAGUGACCAGUGCAGCAAACCCAUGAAUGAAUUAUUUCAGUCUUACCUCAUUAUCAGAUUGAAUAUGCAGUUCACCGAUGAACUGGUAGAUGGAACCAAUUCGGAAGCUAAGGUUUCUCAAGUGUUGAAACCGACACUAUCACACAACUGAUUACUUGCAACAUCCCGAAACCAACGAAGAUCAUCCAUCUGAGCUAACGCUUACUGUGACAGUGCUCGCAGCCACUGUCCCCAAGCCCUGUCAAUCACUCCUUCCGGCAAGGAAAAUAGCUUUUCACAGUAGGCUUCAUUGUGGCCCAGGCAUCCACACAAAAAAUAGAAAAUCGGCAACCUCUCAUACUUAAAAUUAAUAGUUUUCAUUGAGCCAUCACCAUGUCUCACCUUCUUCCACCUCUUCAACGGCUUCCUGUGUUCAAACGAACCCGAAUACACAUGUAUGAUCGCCAUGACCUAUAGUUGUUUAGAUCGUACUCUAAGAAAGUUCUGAUGAAAUCACCAAACUGUUUGCCUACAUCCUCAGGCAUAACCCCCAUUGGCAAAUCAUAGACUUGAACCCAAAAGGGAGUGAAGAAAAAUGGGAGACUCUUUGGAUCGUCCCCUCACAAACCUUCUCCAGUGAUAGAGUAAUAAGUUAAGAUAAUAUUUACAAUUUAUUUGUAUUUAAUAUUAGCUAUAUUUGUAACUGUCACUAAAAGAUAUACAUGUAAAUUGCAAUAUAUUGUACCUAUCAUACAAUACAGAAUACAAAAAAGGAUUCUCAAACGUGUAAACCUCCAGAUGGUAUCAGAGCUCUAAGGCUACACGGCAUCUUCUCAUCUUUCUUUCUGUAAUUUUGUAUUCCUUCUUCAUCUUUAUUCAAAAAAAAAAAAAAAAAGUAUGGGGACAGAGCCAGCUCUCACCUCUACUGUUUCUGCACCUGCUUCUUUUUCUUCUGUCCAAGCUCCCAAUAUAACUCAGUUCAUCUCUUUGAAAUUGACCUCAGCUAAUUAUUUGCUGUGGAAAUCCCAAAUUCUUCCCCUUUUGUAUGGGUAUCGACUUGCUGGUUAUAUCGAUGGAUCUAAGCCUGCUCCUUCUCAGUCGCUUGACAAUGGUGACCCCACCUCAGCGUAUAAUGAUUGGCUUUGUCAAGAUCAAAUAGUCAGAAGCUGGAUCAAUUGUUCCGUUUCUGAAUCCCUCUUAAAUCAGAUUGUGUGUUGUACUUCUGCCAAGGAGGCGUGGGAUAAGCUUGCUACGGUUUAUUCAACAGGCUCUCAAACAAGGGAUGGAGGCGAGUUGGACGAAUAAUGGCCUUUUACUCACUCAAAAUAAGUACAUACAGGACUUACUUGUUAAGGCUGGUAUGACUAAUUGUAAGGGCCUUUCCUCACCAGCCACUACAAAAGAAUCGACUACGGAUGCACAACAAACUCCCUUUUCCGAUCCUACACUCUAUCGAAGUAUAGUUGGUGGCCUGCAGUAUCUAAAUCUGACACGACCUGACGUAUGUUAUUCAGUUCAUAAAGUGUCACAAUUUCUUCAAGCACCGACCGAGGCUAACUGGUCUUCCGUCAAGCGAAUUUUAAGGUACUUGAAAGAUACUGCAACGUGUGGUUUAUUUUUCACCAAAUCCUUGACAACCAACUUGAAUGUUUAUUCUGACGCUGAUUGGGCGAGUAGUUUAGAUGAUCGCAAGUCUACCACAGGUUAUGCUAUCUUUAUGGGUUCUAAUCUCAUUUCAUGGAACUCCAAGAAACAACAAACUGUGGCAAAAUCAUCAACAGAAGCUGAAUAUAGGGCUAUCGGACUUGCCGUUACUGAAUUGUCAUGGGUCCAAGCUUUGAUGCGAGAUAUUGGUUAUAGUUCAACAGUCACACCGAAUUUAUGGUGUGACAACAUUGGUGCCACGUAUUUGUCAGCAAAUCCUGUAUUUCAUGCCCGUACUAAGCAUUUAGAAGUGGAUUUUCAUUUUGUCCGUGACAAAGUCAGUAAGCGAGAAUUACAGGUACAAUUUAUUUGUUCGAAAGAUCAACUAGCUGACAUUCUGACGAACCCUCUACCUCAGAUUAUGCCUUAAUGCACAGUUUGACAAUUCGAAGCUUCAUUCCGCAAGCUUGAAUUGAGGGGGCCUGAUAGAGUAAUAAGUUAAGAUAAUAUUUACAAUUUAUUUGUAUUUAAUAUUAGCUGUAUUUGUAACUGUCACUAAAAGAUAUACAUGUAAAUUGCUAUAUAUUGUACCUAUCAUACAAUACAGAAUACAAAAAAAGAAUUCUCAAACGUGUAAACCUCCAGAUCCAGCACCAAAAGAUGAUUAUUAAAAGACUAGGGCCCCCCAUUCCAAACCCUAUUUAGACCAACAAUGUGAAAAAACUGGAAAAGAAAAACUCGAUAGGCAACCUCACUAACAUGAAUACCCUUGCCAGGUCUCCAAAGAUUUGCCAUAGAAUCCUUCAUAGCUUCAUAAUUAACCUUUUGAUUCGUCAAUGGCCUCCCAACCAGACAGAGGUCAUAAUUGGGUUGUUCAGUCAAUUGGCUUCUGUAUUGCAACUGCAUCUUAGCUUCCUCAUCAUCUGAUGGCACAAGACUAGCUAUCGUUUCAUGCUCACCAUAAGCAGCACCAUGACUUUAGACGCCAUAGAUAAAAAAACUCAUGCACAAAGUAAGACACCCUCACAUGCAAGACAAAUAUGAAAAAGAAAAAAACCAUAACUUGAUUUGGCCCUAAUACAUAAAAGAAAAUUUCAAGCUUUAUUAAAGGUAAACUGGACAUUUUAUUACAACUAAAUGGAAAAAUUUAAUUGAAGAACUAUUUAUUUAAAUAGCUACAAAAUAAAAACAUUAUUUAAUUAUUUUUUUAGAAUAGAAGGCAUAAAAUAAUUAAUAUGAAAUUUUGAAAAUAUCAGCUCACUAACAUAGUAUAUAAUUGAGGCACGUGUAUAAAAAUGCAUAAAAUGAGAAUUGAACCCAACGUUAAUCAAACAUGCAGCCCUCUAAUCUAGAGUCAAACGUGCUACCAUUGCGCCACAAAUCCAUGCAUAUUAAAGUAAACAUUAUAAGAUUAAAGAUUAAUUACCACCCUAUUUAUUUGUAAAUUUUUUUCAAAUUUAAAUAAUUUAGAACAUUCUAAAUAUUUUUUUUAUGAAAAAUUGGGCUUUUUAUCCUUUUGGUGCAAAUUCAGGAGCAAAUUAUAUAAAAAGUUAAUUUUUAGGCAACCUGAACAUUACUCCAAGUUCAGGAAAUAAAUUUACGACUUUAGGAAGUCUAAACUCAACAUUAGACAGCCUAAAGUCCUCGAACUAUAAAUCUCUUAGUUGCAACCAUGCUGCCUAAAUUGAAUUUUAGGAAGCCUAAAAAUGAAAAAAAAAAAAAAAAGAAAAAAAAUCAAUAACUUUUGUUAUAAAAUUCUGUUUUCAAAUCCGUUUGAUCCGAUGGAAAUCAUAUUCAACCAAUUAUUCGAAAACAUGAAUUUUUAUGGCAAAACUAUUUAAAAAUAUUCGUUUUCAAAAAUAUUUUUCCACCCAAAUGCAAUAUUUUUAAAAUGUGUUUGUCCAAAGCUGAAAUUUUAUUUGAAAAUAAAUUGUCAAUUUUAAAAUGGUGAUCGACUCAAAUGAUUUUUCAAAUUAAAAUUGUAAGAUCAUCAAAUAUACUUAAGGUGAAUUCCUAGAAUUGAACCAUCAAUUAAUUAGAGCAAUACCUUAAAAGAAGAAAUUCUAAGAAACUUAUAAUUGAAUUGUAGGCUUCAAGUAGCUUGUAUUUGUAACUUGUAUUUGUAUUUGUAUAUUUAAAUUGGAUUUGUAUAAUUGAAUUAUAAGCUGUUGAUGUUAAUUUUCUUGAAUCAACCUGCUAAUCAACAAAUAGUAAUUAAAAUUAAUUAGCAGAAUAACAAUUAUUUGUUAUUAUGUAGGUUUUAUGUAGUGGGAUUGGAAAUUUUGUUUUUUUUUUUUAAAAAAAAAAAAAAAUUGUUUUCUACUAGAACUCGAAAUCUUUUUUUUUUUUUUCAUAAAAAGAGAAAAAUUCAAGAUAAAAUAAAUAGCAACGUGUAUAGAAACAACCAAAAUUUGAAAAUCUAUGCAAAGUACGAGUUCCAACUGGGAAAUGGAUAUCAAAAUAAUCCUAGAGAGUCAAUUUAUCGAGCUAAAAUAAAAUAAUAAUAAUAAUAAUAAUAAUUUGACUAAUUUUUAGAAGAAGCAAUACGUAAGGUUGACGUUAAUACCCUUCUUUGUUAUAACAGAUGGCCCUGCAGAAGACCCUGAGAUGAUCAAUACCAUAUUUAAGACAAACAGAAUUCUCAUAUCAUAACUCAAAACCCAUAAUAUAUGUCUCUUACCAAACAUGAUCUUGGUCAUCAUAUCUGUAGCGUGGUUGAAUUCCUGUUCGGAAAAGGAAGUAGAAAACAAAAUGCAAGCCUAUACAUGUUUUCCAGCUGGACACAUUAAACUUAAUUAAUGUUUCUUAUAUGUCAAAGUCAUGAAAUAUUAAAUUUUGUUUCUUCGAUGGUUAAUUCACAUCUGAGAGAAGGGUGAUUGCAUUUAUUGCGGUAUUUAAUUAUCUUCUACCGUCUCUUCCCUCGCUAACAUUUUGAUUAAAAAUAUAUAUUUUACGAACUUUUGUAUAUUUGGUUAAAUCUGAAAUUAGAUGUGGAAAAUGGCUUUUUAGAAAUAUAUUUUUAACCGUCUGCGUGAGAAAGCUAAGAAGAAAAAUAUCUUCUGCAGCCUUCAGCUAUCGAAGUAGGGGUGGCCACCACGGUUCCAGUUCCAAAACUGAACCGGAAACUGAGGGUUUCAGUUACAGUUUGAAACCGAAUCAGAACUGGUGAUUUCAGUUACGAUUUGAAAUUGAACGGUUACGGCUCCGGUUCUUUAACGGUUUCAAAAUCGAUGAUUCCAGCCAGUUCGAUCAGUUUUCCUGCGAAUCACAUAAUUAUAAAAUCAAAAAUUAAGGAAUAUUUUUUUAUUCGAAAUUUAAAACUUAAAUAUUUAUGAAAUACUUUUUAAAAAAAUUUAAGAAAAAAUUCAAAAAGGCUUGAAUUUAAUUUAAUUUUUUUUUUAAAAAAGCCUCAACUUAAUUUUUUUUUUUUUUAAAAAAAAAAUUAAGUUGUCUAUGUAUCCUCUUAGGGUUUAGAAGAAUCAAAGCUGACGUAGUUCUUACUUACCUUGUACCAAUAUCACCCUUUUAUCUUAGUCAUUAUUUUCACCGGUUGAUGUUUCCAUUGAGAACCCAUCAUAAAAAUUGUAUAAGUCUUCAUUUUCUUUGAUAAUCUCUUGUGCUCUUAGUUUGACUGUGGUCCAAUCAUCCACGCAUGAUUACACUUCUACUGAAUCAAGUAUUAUCCUAAAUCGAAUUUCAUCAAGUUUGUUUUCUCAUUGACUAAAAUCUUGUUCAACCGCAACAAUCGAGACUAGUGCUGCUAAAACUUAUUUUGCAAUUAGUGCAAAGGUUGGAAAUAUAUUGGCAUGACAACUCCAACAAUCUAAAAUCGGAAAGUUGUUACCUGCGAGUAACUAUUACCAAAUCAAGAACAAUGAUAAGAUAACUCUCAAGUUUAGGAAUAGAACGAGAACUGGAUCCCCUAUGUCUUUUUUGUCUUUGUAAUAAUAGAUGUUCAGCAACAUAUAUUUUUUGGUUGCCAAUGAUUGAUUAUGAACUUGAGAACAAUCAGAAGAAGUAGAUGAACCAGAAUAUUGAAUAAAUUCAGUAUAUAAAUCUAUAAUAUUUUUUUAACUUCAUUUAAUACUACAUUUACAUUAACACUAUCUUCUAUAUCAAGAUUUAAUAUUUCAUAAUAAAAAGUCAAAUAAUCAGAUAAAAUUUUAAAUUUACAUCUACGAUCAAAUACACAAGCAAUAAGAAAAAGGAAUGGUAUAUUUUUAAAAUAAACUAAUCAUUUUUGUUUUAUUAAUAAAACACAAUUUUUUAAUAAAAUAUCAUUUUCAAAUUCUGGAAAUGCACUAAUAAUAUUAAUGCAUAUAGGCAAAAAUAAAUGAGCUGUGAGAUUAUAAACCUCACUAAAAGCGUAUGUUACAUCAUUAAAAUUUUCAAAAUAUCCAAAAUUUUUGCACAAAUCUCUCAAUUUUAUAGAUAUAACUUAAUUUAUCCAACAUUGUUAGUAAAAAAUGUGCAAAAUAAUUCUCUAUAUGAAAAAGACUCGUUUAAUAAUUUAUAUAUUGUUGGACAUCUUUUGCAAAACGUUUUGGUCUUCUCUUAUUUUCCUUAUAAAAUUUAUUCCAACUUUUCAUUACUUGGAAUGUCUUGAUAAAUAUGAAAUAGAUUUUCUAAUUGGAGAAAUAAAUGAUUCAAAAACUUGUAAACCAUCUUGUACACAUAAAUUUAAAACAUGAUAUGCAUAUCUAAAAUGAAAAAAUUUUUCACCAACAUUUGGUUCAUAAAUUGCUUUAAGCUCAGUAAUUGAUUUAGUGUUGGCAAAGGAAUUAUCAAAUAAAAUUGAAAAUUUUUUUUUGGGUAAUUUAUAUUCAUCUAAAAUUGAAACAAUCAUUUUAUAUAUAUAUUAUUUGUGGUAUGUUUAUCAUCAAAAAUAUGACAUACAAUAAUUCUUUUUUGUAUUUUUCAAUCGUCAUCAAUCCAAUGACAUGUAAUACUUAUAUAAGAACGCAUUUGCCAAUAAUCAUUCCAAAUAUCACAACAAAUUGAAACAUGAAUUUUUACUUCAAAACAUAAAAGUUCUAACUCUCUUCUUCCUUUUUUUAUCUAGAGAAAUAACAGUUCGUUUUACAAUAUUUCUUGGAACUCUUUUUUUUUUUUUCUUUUGAUAGAGUAAAACUCAUAGCCUUUCAUUCAUUAUCAUUAAUCUCGGACAAACAAUGAGGAAUAUAAUUCCAGAUACGUAGAUGCGCAAAGCAAAUAGAAGCUCGAGCUAGGGUAUGAGCUUUUAAGUUCGCUUGCCUACGAAUCCAUCUACACAAAACCAAAGGGAGUUCUAAAAAAAAGUUCUCACAAUCAGAAAACAUACUCCCCCCAUCCGAUCUAAAUAAAAUAGAGGAGCUCAAAGCAAAAAAUGAAACCUGCGAGUCCAUGAAAAUAGUACCUCCACGCUCAACAUAAUUUUGCUUGAGAAAUAAUAAAAAACUACGAAGAGCUAGAGCCUCUGCAAUAAAAGGGUCCGUACCACCUGUAAAGUGGCCUGAAACUGCUCGAAUAAAAAUGCCUUCCUCUGUCUCCAUCACCACUCCAAAGCCUUGCAUGCCUUCUUGCUCAAAAACCACAAAAGCUUGCCAUGAUUGGUCUCCACUGUUGCUAAGAUGUCCGGGUUGAAAUAUUGCAAGCCUUUGCCGACUUGUAUUUGAGGAUGCACUAGCCAUGCUCCUUUGCGCCAACUUUGUAUGUUCCCAACUAAUCAUGUAUUCUUUUNNNNNNNNNNNNNNNNNNNNNNNNNNNNNNNNNNNNNNNNNNNNNNNNNNNNNNNNNNNNNNNNNNNNNNNNNNNNNNNNNNNNNNNNNNNNNNNNNNNNNNNNNNNNNNNNNNNNNNNNNNNNNNNNNAAAAAGAAGUUAGUAAAAGAAAUAUUUAUAUCACCUACUUCAUACCCCCCUUGCCUCCAAACUCCCUUAGCCUUACUACAUAACACUAUUGCAUGAUUAAUAUCCUCUUCCUCCCCACACCAAGGACAUCCAAUAUCAACCUCCACCCCUCUCCUUCUCAAUCUCUCCUUCGUAGGCAACACAUUCCUUAGAGCCCUCCACAUAAAAUCUUUGUCUUUAGGGGAAGCAUCUAAACCCCACAUCUUACCCCACCAUCCACCAUCCACCUUCCACCUCAUGCACCCUCCCCCUCAACAACCUCCUUGCCACGUAGUACCCCGACCUAACGCUAUAAAUGCCUUUUUUANNNNNNNNNNNNNNNNNNNNNNNGUUAAUACUAAUAGGAAUCCCUAAUAUAGCUCUAAACUCUCUCAAGCUAAAAAGAGUCAUCACCUUCCCCACAUCCCAUCUCCCUUCCCCCUCCACAAAAAGCUCCCUCACUUUCAUAUUAGGAUCAACAAAGUCCCUAGUGUCCUCCAUCCAAAAACUAUGAUCCAGAGGCAUCCACGGAUGUGAUAAUACACCGAUAGUUUCCCCAUUCCCUACUCUCCACCGUACCCCCUGUUUUAAUACCCCAAUAGCAACAUGAAUACUCCUCCACACAUAACUAGGACGCCUACCAAGAGGAGCAUCCAAAAAAUCCCUAUUAUGGAAAUAUUUGGCUUUGAAAAGUUUAGAAAAAAGAGCAUCGGGCUCCGUCAUAAGAUGCCACCCUUGCUUCACUAGCAUGGCCAUAUUAAAACAAUGAAGAUCCCUGAAACCCAUACCACAUUCCCUUUUGCUACAACACAUCCUCUCCCUCGCUAACCAAUGAAUCCCUCUACGCCCUCCUUUCUUCUCCCCCCACCAAUACUUGUUCAUCCUUUUUUGCAUCGCUUCACAUGUAGAAAGAGGUAUUUUAAACACACUCAUACAAUAAGUAGGAACAGCUUGCACAAUCGACUUAAUUAAUACCUCCUUUCCGACUCUAGAGAGGAAUCUGUUAGACCAAUUGCAAAUCCUUUUUUUCAAGUCUGUCCUGAAGGAAGCCAAACACCUGUUUUUUCGAUUUGCCAAUGAGAGAUGGAAGACCAAGAUAAGUACCCCCACCAAUUGAACCAGCAACAUUCAAAAUAGUAGAGAUAUUAGUCAUCAACUCUCUACUCAUAUUCGAGCUGAAAAAGAUACCCAAUUUGUUCAAAUUAAUGGCCUGACUCGAUGCUCUCUCAUAUUUCUUCAAAAUAUCAUUGACCUCCUCUGCUUCCUAUAAAGAACCCUCAAAAAAGAAAAAAGAAUCAUCCGCAAAUAGCAAGUGACAGUGAUUUUUGCAAGUGUACAAAUCACAACAAGUGAUAUAGAGUGAAAGAGUAUCGUAUCCAUAGGGAUUGUGUAUCAAGUACCAAAAUUUUGUUAACCUAUUAUUAUUUAAACGACAAUAAGAGAGAUUUGUUAUAAGGAAAGUAAAUUUGAAAAUUAAACAGAAAAUAUCAAGCAACAAAAUUUAGAUGAAAAGGAAUCAAGGAUUUAAAACUACUAGGGAAUUUGGUUUCACUUAAUUCUAUCCAAUUUAUUUUAUUAGUCUGUUAAUCAAUUUUAAUUGUUCAAGUAGGGGAAACAACCCUAGAAUCACUAACAAGCUCUCUCGAUGUAUUGUUGGCUAUUCUAAUCCGGUCUAAUUACCUAUCUUUCAAUAGCACAAUCAAACAUGAAUUAAAUCAUUAAGUUUUAUGGUUUGUUUUGUGAAUUCACAACCUAAGGUCAUUAACUUGUGAAAACCCCCCAUGAGUCAAACCGUAUAGCUUCCGCAUCAAGUUAUUGUUCUCAUGUAAUUUAUUAUCUUUUUUGUAUCAAAAACCCUUCUUCCGAUAGUGAUUAAUAAAAUAAUUCAAUCCAGGGGAAUAAACUCUGCCUGGAAGCUUUACGUUCAAUAAUAAAGUAUAGCAAGAAUAAGGAAAAGCAAAUCUAAUAAUAUAAUUUGGAAUCGAAUUAAAUUACAUCAAAUCCCUAGCUUAGGAGUUUAGCUAGACAUAGUAAUUAAAUAAAACUCAAUAAUACUUGAAUAAAUCUUCAUAAUCAGUAAUGAACAAUGAAAAUAAAAACAAGAUUAAGAGUUUAGAGAUAAAAACUAGGCAACAACUAUGUAGAUGACUUCCUUGAAUCUUUGCACAAAUCUUGGAUGCUUGAGGUCUUUUAGAGAAAGAGAAUUAUGUAGAAAAUUAUUGAAAUUCGAGAUGCCUCAUAAUGAGAAGCUCUCCUCUUUAUAUAGACCUUCUGGAGAGAAAUCUGACUUUGUUUAGGAAACAGAAUCCUAAUUAAGUACAAAAUCUUCUUUAGGAGAUCAUGACUGUUUAAGCUUUGGAUUUCUUCUUAGUUAGGACUCUUUUCUCUUCCUAAAUAGGUUUAGAUCUUGUUUAGCACGUUUAAGAAAAUAUCCGAGGCGGGCCCAUGUGAGAAAAAGAUUGGCUCGCAUUUUUAGCUUAAGACAACUCUGCCUUCAUAGCACGGGCGUGCCAUAUAGCACAACUUGGGCAUGCUAGAGUCUGGAACUAUGAAUGGUUGAGCACAGGCCAUGCUAUGCAACACGCUCAGAGGAGUCCUUGUGGCACGGGCGUGCCAUUUAGCACAGGUAAGGCGUGCUUGGCUCUGUCCUUCGAAGAUGGAUUUCAUCAUGGGCGUGCUAGGCAAGCACGCCUUGAGUUUCUUUUGGGCACGGGCGUGCCAUUUAGCACGGUCUAGCCGUGCUAUCCCCUGACUUUCCACUUGAUUUUCUUUAGCUUUAGCACGGGCGUGCUAAAAUGCACGGGAUGGGCGUGCUCAAGCCUGAGUAUUUUACUUUGUAAUGCUCUUUUCUGUGCCAAAACCCUGCAAAUUUCUUUCAGAUCAAGUGGAUUAUGAUUCAAAGAAGCUUUCAACAAAAUUAUAAUAAAAACGAAGUAAAAAUAAACUAAAGUGAUAAAUUUUACUAAAAUUCUAAAUAAAAACUAUACUAAAAAAUACUAUAAUUGUGACACCUAUCAAAAUUCCCCAAACUGAAACCAUUGCUUGUCCUCAAGCAACAAAACUAAAAGUAGGAGAACAAAAUAAUCUGACAAAACUAGCUUGCUAUGGUUGGUGAUAAUUAUAAACUCCAAAAGAUAUCACAGUUGUUAAUAUGUGAAUAAAUCAAUUGUUUUCCAUGCUAAUUAUAUUUAAGCGAAAAUUCACUAUUUUUGAUAAAACACAUUCCUUGAUUUAAACAUAAGUUAAAAGGAUUUUCAACACUAAUAUAUAUUCAACUUAUGAUAAAUAUGUUAUGAAUAAUCUACAAAAAUUAUUUAACCUUUUUAAAUAAGAUUUUUAAUAGUUUUAAAUUUAGCAUUCCCAUAUGCAAAAAUUAGUCAUCCCUUCUCCACAAUUGAAAUGCAUAUGAUUUUAAAAGAUCAAAAGGUCUUUAUUUUGGGUUGUAAUGGGGUUUUCGGGGUAUAAUUUUAGCUGAUCAAAGAAAAGGGAUAAAAGAUAGACAAAGGGUGCAAAAGAAUGUAUAAUAUCCUGAUUUCCAUUCUAUCAAAACCAUUUGUUUUAAGGGAGUUUCUGUCUUGAAAUUCUUUACUAGCUUGUGAUAUAGAGAUAUUUUGGCAAGGUCUUUUUGUAAUAUUUUGCUAAUUUCUUCUUUGCACUUAAAUUCCCUAACUUGAAUUCUUUGAUUGAUUGCUUUUUCUAUGGGGUAUUUCUCUUUUGAUAUUUCUUACUUGGUACACUUGCUAGUGUCCAUGAAAUUUUCUCCCUUUUGUCGCUAUGUUUUAAUGAAAGCCAAAUCCUUCAAUUAUACAUUAUUGCACUCAGGGUAAGAAUUGAAAUUGGUUUAAUGGCUAGGUUUAAUAAGGGUGAACAAGAAAAUUUUAUAGGCUUCAAAAUUGGUUGCAAAAGUCAUAUUUUNNNNNNNNNNNNNNNNNNNNAAAUAUGAAGUUCAACAAAGAAUGUCUAAAUCAUCUCUUUCUAAAUGUAAGCAUUUAAAAUUUUUGCCUCAAAGGGAGUUCUAAUUUGUUCUAGGAAUGCCAAGGUUAUAUAAGUUUAGAUUAAACAUGCCUAUAUAUCAUAAAUUUCAUAAAAAUUAGUGUUUAUAAUCUUAGAAACAUAUAGUUAAAUCAAUGAAUCAUGUUAAGUCAAAAAUUUCAAAUUUAGAACUUAAGUAUACUAGAAUAGAAAAUCAACUAAAUUCAUCACAUAUUACUAAUUCGUGACAACCUUCAAGCCUGCUUAUAAUCAUUCUAACCAUGUUAAGCAAAAAUAAAAUUUUAGCUAAAAUUUCCUUCCCCCAAUUUAAUCAAACACAUUGUCCCCAAUGUGUACAAAAUAAAUUGAUUUCCCCAAACUUAUUGCAUUAACAGAAGAAAAGAGAUAAGAAAGUGGAGUAAACAUUACCAAAAUUGUAUUGAAAAAUACAAUAGAGCUGGGUGCUGGAACAUGUCAUAGCUAAAAGUCCAAAAUAAACAUUAAGAGAAAAAAACUACUAAAGAUAUAAUAGUCAAAGUAAAAUCAAAAGAAAAAUUCAACACAAAACAAUCAAUGUAUGGGAAUAAAAUCAAAACAGGAAGAACAAAUAAAGAGUCAAAAUCCAUCAAGGCUCCGGUGGUGGAGGUGGAUGCGGUUGUUAGAGCUGGAUAACAGUCUGGAGUUGGCCUUGCAAUGUAUCCAUACGAGACUCGAGGCUCCCAUGCAUAAUCUCGAUGGAUUGGAAACGGUCUACAAUCAUAAAUUCCAUCCCGUUAAGGCAUGUGUCAAAUAUGUUCAUUCGAGACAUCAUCCUCGCAAGGACUUCAUCGUUGGACAUGCUUGACGCUCCUUGAAAGGAUGGACCAGCACCGAAAGUACCUGCACCAAAAGAAGAACCAAAAGGCGGCGGAUUAUCCUCCUCCACAUCAGCACCACCUGCUGCCUCGGCUUCCUCAUCGUCAGAACUGUCCUCUCAAGCACCUACUACCCGAUAAGCAUCUCCAACCUUUUCGAUCAAUUUCAUGUGGAUCAUGACAUCCAAAUCUAAUCUGGUAACCUUCCCCCCUCCAACACUAUCAUAGAUUGGUCUAGCCGGGUUCCAGACUCGAAAAUACGCAGCAAUGCGGGUCACAAAACACCCUAUCAUGAUAGCCCCUUUAUCUGCUCUAGCCACCUUUGCACAUCUUUGGCAUAGCCAAUACCCAACAUUAAGCAAAACUCCCUGUUCAAUCGCCUAUAUAAAGUAUAAUACAUUCAAGCCUAAAACUUCAUCACUUUCACUCCUUCCAAAAAUAGUGUUAGACAAGAAUGUGUGAAUCUGCCUUAGGGCAGGAUUUCUUAGUUUGGAUGCCUUUGAAUACCUAGGGUUGUAAUUAAUUUCAUCGGUCAAGUCUUUCCAUUAUUGCGUUCAUGAAAAUCCUUAGAUAUUUGGAUUUGAGCGUUUUCCGUGGGGAAUCCAAAAAUAUGGCUAACUUCAUUCACAGAUAAAUCAAAAGUUCUACCAAGAAGCCUAAAGUGAAUUUUGCUUGGGGGAGAGGUAGGCAAAAAUCGAAUGAAAGAGGAAUAAGAACUCAAAAAUUCUAAAGUUAAAGGUGCAUAAACUAGAUCCUUCAUCUCAAUAAACUAUCCCCAUCCUAUAUGCCUAAGUGGUUCUAUCACAGCAUCUCGAAGACCGACUUGCGCUAAGGAAUUUUCAUCAAUGAAUUUAUUGGGAAAAAUAGAGCGAAGGGAUAGUUUAUUGUACCUCUCUUGUUGCUCAGGUGAAGCGAUCUCAAAUGGAGGAGGAGUAGGCGUCGAAGGAGGUGGAAUCGGUAGAGGAGUAGUGGAGGGUCAAGCGAUUGGCCGUUGUCUAGCGGCAACCGAGGAAGCGGGUCUGCUACGCUUGUAUCGAGGAGGCAUGGUGAAGGAGAACGGUGUAAAAAUUUGGUAUGUAGUGUGUUUGAUUUGAGAGAAAAGGGAGAAAAAGAGAGAAAAUUAAAGAGAAAAUUGGGAGAGGAGAGGUUGACGGCUAGGGCGUGCGAGAGGGAAGUGAGGGUUGGUUAGGGCAUGCGCUUUAAAUAGAGGCGCCAUUUAAUGCGCACGUCUGGUCGUGGCACGGGUGUGCUCCUUGGUACGGGCGUGCUCCUUGGCACGGCCAGACCGUGCGCGCUAAUCUUGUUUGGAGGCGGUUAGGGCACGGGCAUGCUAGAGGACACGCUUGGGGCUGGAGGACACGCUUGAGGCGUGCUUGCUUUUGUCCUGCAACAGAAAAAAAAUGAAGCAUACCUGGCACGGUUAGGGCAUGCUCGCCUCUAACUCUCAAAGCAAAAUUUCCCUUCGGAUCGCACGGGCGUGCUACUGGACACGCCUGGGGCGUGCUUGCCUCUGACUCUCAAAGUGGUUUUUCUCCAUUCAUGAGGCACGGGCGUGCUGUGGUGCACGGUCAGGGUGUGCCCGCCUCUGACUCUCUAAGCAAAAUUGGUUUUUAUGGCACACGGGCGUGUCCUGGGACACAGUCUGGGCAUGCUUAGCUAUCAUAUCAUGGCACAGGCGUGCCAUUUAGCACGUCCAGGGCGUGCUGACCUGUGGAUUUUAACUUGAUCCUGAAAAAUUCUGACUAAAGCAAAAGAACAAUUAUGGCGAAAAUUUGGGAAAUUUUAUAAUAGAAAUAAUAGAAAUAAAAUGGAAACAAUAAUUGGAAAAAGAAAGAAAACAACAUGGGUUGUCUACCACAAGCGCUUUUGUUUUAACGUCGUUUAAGCUCGAUGUACUCAACCUAGUUUAGGUCAGACGAGACUGAUGGUAUUCUUGAUAGGAUCAAAGUUGUCAUUUUGAUAAACUUUUAAUCUUUGAGCAUUAACUUUGAAACUUCGAUUAGACUUACCAUCCACUAUUUUGAUGCCUCAUGUGGAAAAAUCUCUUUAAUUGUGAAUGGACCAGACCAUCUGAAGUGCAAUUUACAAGGAAAAAGGUGGAGUCUGGAGUUAUAGAGCAAUACCUGUUGGCCUACUUUUAGAUUCCUCAUGAUAAUGUGCUUAUCGUGCCAUUGUUUGGUGAAAUCCUUAUAUAUUUUGGUGCUCUCAUAAGCAUGGAGGUGCAUUUUAUCCAUCAUAUUCAAUUGUAGCAACCGUUUUUGACCAGCCUCUUUUGCAUUGAAGUUAAGAAAUUGAAUUGCCCAAAAUGCCUUAUGCUCUAAUUCAACAGGAAGAUGACAAGUCUUACCGUAAACCAUGCAAUAUGGAGACAUACCGAUUGGUGUCUUGAAUGCAGUUCUGUAAGCCCAUAGAGCAUCAUCUAGCUUCUUGGACCAGUCCUUCCUUGAUUGUCCAACAGUUGUCUCCAGGAUCUUCUUGAUUUCUCUGUUGGUAACCUCUACUUGUCCACUUGUUUGAGGAUGAUAUGGAGUGCCUACACGAUGAGUAACACCAUAUUUUGCAAGAAGGGAAUCUAAAUAUUUGUUGCAAAAGUGCUUACCUCCGUCCGUGAUUAUUGCUCUAGGAGUGCCAUGACGUGUAAAAAUAUACUUCUUGAUAAACUUCAUUACACUCUUGGCAUCAUUGUUUGGAAGAGCAACAGCUUCUGCCCACUUUGAUACAUAGUCCAUCGCAACUAGAAUGUAUUGGUUGGAGUAUGAUGAUGGAAAAGGCCCCAUGAAGUCCAUACCACAAACAUCGAAGAUUUCGACUUCAAGGAUGCUAUUUAAGGGCAUCUCAUGUCUCUUCGAAAUGUUACCUAGUCUUUGACAGCGAUCACAAAGGCGAACAAAGUUAAAGGCAUCUUUAAACAGGUUACGCCAAUACAAACCGCUUUCUAAUAUACGUGCUACUGUCUUGUUUGCUCCAAAGUGUCCUCCACAUUCCAUUGAAUGGCAAAAUUUAAGAACACUUUCCAUCUCUGUUUACGGUAUGCAUCACCGGAAUAGCUGAUCACUAUAAUAUUUGAACAGAAAGGGCUCCUCCCAAUAGUAGUAUUUGAUAUCAUGGAAGAAUUUUUUCUUUUGUUGAUAGGAAAAGUUGGGAGGGGGAAUUUUGCAAACAAGGUAGUUGACUAUAUCAGCAUACCAGGGGGUUUGUGUAUUUGCCAACAGUAGAAGUUGCUCAUGGGGAAGGUUCUCAUUGAUUUGUAACUCUGUUGUAUCUUCUUCCCCCAAUUCCAGCCUGGAAAGGUGGUCAGCCACAAGAUUUUUGGUUCCCUUUUUGUCGAGAAUUUUCAGAUCAAAUUCCUGCAAUCAAGGCACCCAACGAAUUAGUCUCGGUUUUGCAUCUUUCUUUUCUAGCAAAUAUUUGAUNNNNNNNNNNNNNNNNNNNNNNNNNNNNNNNNNNNNNNNNNNNNNNNNNNNNNNNNNNNNNNNNNNNNNNNNNNNNNNNNNNNNNNNNNNNNNNNNNNNNNNNNNNNNNNNNNNNNNNNNNNNNNNNNNNNNNNNNNNNNNNNNNNNNNNNNNNNNNNNNNNNNNNNNNNNNAACAGCUCCAAUAGCAUGAUCACUAGCAUCACACAUAAGCUCAAAAGGAAGAGUCCAAUCUGGUGUAGUAAUGAUAGGUGCUGAGAUCAACUCCUUCUUUAACCUAUUAAAAGCAUUCAAACACUCUUUGUCAAAAUUAAAAGGAACAUCUUUAAUUAAUAAAUUACAAAGAGGUUUUGUGAUUUUUGAGAAGUCUUUGAUGAAUCUCUUGUAGAAUCCUACAUGACCAAAAAAAAUUUCUUAUUCCCUUCACUGAGUUAGGGGGAGGUAGUUUUUUAAUUACCUCGAUUUUUGCUUUGUCUACUUCAAUCCCCUUUUGAGAGAUCUUAUGNNNNNNNNNNNNNNNNNNNNNNNNNNNNNNNNNNNNNNNNNNNNNNNNNNNNNNNNNNNNNNNNNNNNNNNNNNNNNNNNNNNNNNNNNNNNNNNNNNNNNNNNNNNNNNNNNNNNNNNNNNNNNNNNNNNNNNNNNNNNNNNNNNNNNNNNNNNNNNNNNNNNNNNNNNNNNNNNNNNNNNNNNNNNNNNNNNNNNNNNNNNNNNNNNNNNNNNNNNNNNNNNNNNNNNNNNNNNNNNNNNNNNNNNNNNNNNNNNNNNNNNNNNNNNNNNNNNNNNNNNNNNNNNNNNNNNNNNNNNNNNNNNNNNNNNNNNNNNNNNNNNNNNNNNNNNNNNNNNNNNNNNNNNNNNNNNNNNNNNNNNNNNNNNNNNNNNNNNNNNNNNNNNNNNNNNNNNNNNNNNNNNNNNNNNNNNNNNNNNNNNNNNNNNNNNNNNNNNNNNNNNNNNNNNNNNNNNNNNNNNNNNNNNNNNNNNNNNNNNNNNNNNNNNNNNNNNNNNNNNNNNNNNNNNNNNNNNNNNNNNNNNNNNNNNNNNNNNNNNNNNNNNNNNNNNNNNNNNNNNNNNNNNNNNNNNNNNNNNNNNNNNNNNNNNNNNNNNNNNNNNNNNNNNNNNNNNNNNNNNNNNNNNNNNNNNNNNNNNNNNNNNNNNNNNNNNNNNNNNNNNNNNNNNNNNNNNNNNNNNNNNNNNNNNNNNNNNNNNNNNNNNNNNNNNNNNNNNNNNNNNNNNNNNNNNNNNNNNNNNNNNNNNNNNNNNNNNNNNNNNNNNNNNNNNNNNNNNNNNNNNNNNNNNNNNNNNNNNNNNNNNNNNNNNNNNNNNNNNNNNNNNNNNNNNNNNNNNNNNNNNNNNNNNNNNNNNNNNNNNNNNNNNNNNNNNNNNNNNNNNNNNNNNNNNNNNNNNNNNCAGGCUUGCAGUCUUCUUCCAUCAGGAUCUUAUGCAUGCAUAUACUCGGGCUUAUCCCUUGUAGGUCUGAAAUUGACCACCCUAGUGCUUUCUUGUGCUUUCGAAAAACCUGCAACAACCUUUCCUCUUGAUCAAGCGUUAAGUGAGAAGAAAUAAUAACAGGAAAAGAAUGAUUCUCACCUAAGAAUGCAUGUUUUAAAUGAGGUGGAAGUUGUUUCAGUUCUUGUUUUGGAGGUUCACUUUCUUUCUCAUUCAUGGUGUUUGAUUCAUUAAUGUCAUCUUUAGUAUGCAAAGUGGUUUCCACACAUUCAUCAACAACAUCAAUUCGAAAGCAAUCAUUAUAGUCCAUANNNNNNNNNNCGAUUUAAGAACAUCAAAGACAAUCUCUUCCUGUCCAACCCUUAAAGUUAAUUUACCUUCGUAAACAUCAAUAAAUGCUCUUGCAGUUGCAAGAAAAGGCCUCCCAAGGAUUAGAGAUCCUUCCCUNNNNNNNNNNUCAAUGUCAAGAAUAACAAAAUCAACAGGAAAGAUGAAUGUACCUACCUUUACAAGCACAUCUUCUACAAUUCCUCUAGGAUAUUUGAUCGAUCGAUCCACUAAUUGUAGAGACAUCCUUGUUGGUUUGAAUUCUCCCAUACUUAGCAUCUUAAAAACUUCAUAAAAUAUAAGAUUAAUGCUAGCACCUAAAUCUACCAAAGCUUUUUCAAAGUCAAGAUUACCAAUAUUGCAAGGGAUAGAAAAACUUCCUGGGUCAUUCAACUUUGGAGGCAGUUUAUUUUGGAUAAUCACACUGCAUUCCUAAGUUAACAUUACCGUUCCUUGAUCAUCGAUUUUUCAUUUCUUGCUUAGGAUAUCUUUUAGGAAUUUCGCAUAGUUAGGCAUUAGAGCAAGAGCUUCAGCAAAAGGAAUGUUGAUUUGAAGCUUUUUGAAUACAUCCAUAAACUUUAGGAAGCUCUUGUCAUCUUGUGCUUUCUUUAACCUUUGUAGGAAGGGGACAGGUGGAACAUAGGGUUUUACUUUUUCUUGUUCUUCUAGGUCAAUAAUGGGGACCUUUGGCUGUUCUUCCACGUCCUUUUCUUUCUUUGGUGGCUCUUCUAUUUGUUUGCCACUUCUCAGCGUGAUAGCCUAUACCUGCUCUUUAGGAUUCUUUUCAGUGUUGCUAGGUAAUGUACCUUAAGGUCGAGAUGCCAUCAUGUGUGCAAAUUAUCCUAGCUGAAUCUCCAGAUUUCUUAUCGCCGCCUGUUGGAUUUUAUGGUUUUCUCUAAUUUCAUUCAUGAAAUCCAUAUGUGAUUUAGAAAGAGCAGUGAGGAGGUCAUCAUAAGAUUUCUUCUCUUGAGGAAGGAAACCUGGUGUUGUGUUCAAGGCAUUGUUAGGAUUUCCAUAGGAUAGAUUAGGACGGUUCCUCAAUCUAUUAUCGUAUGAAUUGGAGUAUGGGUAAUUUUUUCUUCCUUGAUUCAUCACAUAGUUUACUUACUCCAAGGAUUGUGGAUUCAAAGAGUCUAUCAUGCAUUCUCCAAUCCCAUAUUGUCCAUUGCACCUAUCACAAACUUGCAUAAUAGAAUUUACAGGAUUGGUAGUUAACAGGUCCAGUUUUCUUACCAUGUUAUCUACCUUGGCAUUAAGUGCUGUGAUAGCAUCUAUUUCAUAGACUCCUGCAGUUCUCUUCCUUUUGAAAUUGUUUUGGUAAUUGCUGUUGCUUGCCAUCUCCUCUAUCAAUUCAUAUGCCUCAUCAAUUCCCUUCUUCUCAAAGGAUCCUCCUGCAGCUACAUCUAAAGUGAUUUUGAUAUUAGGAGAUAAUGCAUUAUAGAAAGUUUGUACCUGUGAGCACUUAGGCAAACUAUGAUGUGGGCACUUUCUUAACAAGUCCUUGAAUCUUUCCCAAGCUUCAUACAAGCUCUCUUGAUCAUGGUGACCAAAUGUCAUUAUCUCAUUGCGCAGUUUUGUGGUUUUUGAAUAUGGGAAGAAUUUUGCUAAGAACCUUUGGGCUAAUUCUUCCCAUGUUGUGAAACUUCCAGCGGGGCAUGAUUGUAACCAAGACCGCGCCUUGUCCCUAAUAGUGAAAGGAAAAAGUCUUAAUUUAAUUGCAUCUUCGGAAACACUAUUCUAUUUGAAAGUAUCACAAAUUUCCAGGAAAUUUGUGAUAUGAGCAUUUGGAUCUUCACUAGGCAAACCCCCAUAUUGGAUUGAGGUGGAAAGCAUUUGGAUAAUUGCGGUUUAAUUUCAAAAUUAUUAGCUUCCACCCUAGAUCUUAUAAUACUCGAGGUUGUCCCAUUAAGAUUAGGUGUUGUGUAGUCUCGCAAGGUGCGAAUUGGAUGUUGAGGUGGAGGUCCAUUCAUGUUCUCGUUUUUGUUCUCGUUGACCAUGUCUACUUGUUGUUCGGGUUUUAUUUCACGUGCUCUUCUUGCAGCAUUGUUCCUAUGAUAAGUUCUUUCAAUUUUUGGAUCAAAGACUAGAGGUUCAGUCCUUCUUGAUCUUCUUUGCAUAAACACCUGAAAAUAAUUCUUAGAAGAAAAGAUAAAUUUAAAACAAAAGAAUGUCUAAAUUAACAAUAGGGUAAUUAGUAUUGAUAUUGACAACGGCAAUCCCCGGCAAUGGCGCCAAGAACUUGAAAGUAAUUUUCGCAAGUGUACAAAUCGCAACAAGUGAUAUAGAGUGAAAGAGUAUCGUAUCCACAGGGAUUGUGUAUCAAGUACCAGAAUUUUGUUAACCGAUUAUUAUUUAAACGACAAUAAGAGAGAUUUGUUAUAAGGAAAGUAAAUUCGAAAAUUAAACAGAAAACAUCAAGCAACAAAAUUUAGAUGAAAGGGAAUCAAGGAUUUAAAACUACUAGGGAAUUUGAUUUCACUUAAUUCUAUCCAAUUUAUUUUAUUAGUCUGUUAAUCAAUUUUAAUUGUUCAAGUAGGGGAAACAACCCUAGAAUCACUAACAAGCUCUCUCGAUGUAUUGUUAGCUAUUCUAAUCCGGUCUAAUUACCUAUCUUUCAAUAGCGCAAUCAAACAUGAAUUAAAUCAUUAAGUUUUAUGGUUUGUUUUGUGAAUUCACAACCUAAGGUCAUUAACUUGUGAAAAUCCCCCAUGAGUCAAACCGUAUAGCUUCCGCAUCAAGUUAUUGUUCUCAUAUAAUUUAUUAUCUUUUUCGUAUCAAAAACCCUUCUCCCGAUAGUGAUUAAUAAAAUAAUUCAACCCAGGGGAAUAACUCUGCCUGGAAUCUUUAAGUUCAAUAAUAAAUUAUAGCAAGAACAAGGAAAAGCAAAUCUAAUAUUAUAAAUUGGAAUCGAAUUAAAUUACGUCAAAUCCCUAGCUUAGGAGUUUAGCUAGACAUAGUAAUUAAAUAAAACUCAAUAAUAAUUGAAUAAAUCUUCAUAAUCAGUAAUGAACAAUGAAAAUAAAAACAAGAUUAACAGUUUAGAGAGAAAAACUAGGCAACAACUAUGUAGAUGACUUCCUUGAAUCUUGGUACAAAUCUUGGAUGCUUAAGGUAUUUUAGAGAGAGAGAAUUAUGUAGAAAAUUAUUGAAAUUCGAGAUGCCUCACAAUGAGAAGCUCUCCUCUUUAUAUAGACCUUCUGGAGAGAAAUCAGACUCUGUUUAGGAAACAAAAUCCUAGUUAAGUACAAAAUCUUCUUUAGGAGAUCAUGACUGUUUAGGCUUUGGAUUUCUACUUAGUUAGGACUCUUUUCUCUUCCUAAAUAGGUUUAGAUCUUGUUUAGCACGUUUAGGAAAAUAUCUGAGGCGGGCCCAUGUGAGAAAAAGAUUGGCUCGCGUUUUUAGCUCAAGUCAGCUCUGCCUUCAUAGCAAGGGCGUGCCAUAUAGCACGGCUUGGGCGUGCUAGAGUCUAGAACUAUGAAUGGUUGAGCACAGGUCGUGCUAUGCAACACACUCAGAGGAGUCCUUGUGGCACGGGCGUGCCAUUUAGCAUGGGUAAGGCGUGCUUGGCUCUGUCCUUCGAAGAUGGAUUUCAUCAUGGGCGUGCUAGGCAAGCACGCCCUGAGUUUCUUUUGGGCACGGGCGUGCCAUUUAGCACGGUCUAGCCGUGCUAUCCCCUGACUUUCCACUUGAUUUUCUUUAGCUUUAGCAUGGGAUGGGCAUGCUCAAGCCUGAGUAUUUUACUUUGUAAUGCUCUUUUCUGUGCCAAAACCCUACAAAUUUCUUUCAGAUCAAGUGGAUUAUGAUUCAAGGAAGCUUUCAACAAAAUUAUAAUAAAAACGAAGUAAAAAUAAACUAAAGUGAUAAAUUUUACUAAAAUUCUAAAUAAAAACUAUACCACAAAAUACUAUAAUUGUGACACCUAUCAGCAAGUGUGUGAUGCUCGGAUAAUUCCUUCCCACCUUCACACCUUGCAAUCUACCUCUCCUUUUAGCAUCCUGAAAUAAUAAAGACAAACCCUCCGCACAGAAUAAAAACAAGUAAGGCGACAAAGGAUCGCCCUGUCUCAAACCUCUACCAGGACGAAUAGGGCCCACCUCCUUACCAUUCAAUAACACAGAGUACUUCACAUCAGUUACACAUAACAUCAUCCACUUCACCCACUUCUCACAAAAACCCAUUCUCAGCAUCAUACCCCUCAAAAACUCCCAAUUAACCCUGUCGUAUGCUUUUGAAAUAUCAAUUUUUAAAGCACAAGCACCCCCUUGAUUCUUCUUACUUUUGAUGUUAUGAAUUAAUUCAAAAGCCACCACCACAUUAUCAGAAAUUAACCUCCCAGGAACGAAUGCGGAUUGACAUUCAUCAAUAAUUAAAGGAAGAAUUUUUUUUCAACCUAUUCACUAAAGAUUUUGCUACAAUUUUAUACAAAACAUUACAAAGCGAAAUAGGUCUAUACUCUUUUAACGACUUAGGAUUAUCACAUUUAGGAAGCAACACAAUAUGGGUAUCUGUCAAAGUCUUUGGGAAGGUACCAGUGUCAAGCCAUUGUUUGCAGUCCUUCCAAAUAUCAUCUCCAAUCACAUGCCAAAAUUUUUGAAAGAACGUCGAAUUUAUGCCAUCUGGUCCAGGUGAUUUGUCAGGUUGUAUAUCAAAUGCAGCUUCUCUGAUCUCAUCCAACGUAAAUGGAGCCGUAAGAAUAUUGUUCUGGAUAGCUGUCACCUUUGGUUGAACAAAAUUAAAAAUUUCAAUGCAAACUGAUUCUUCUGCACUAUAAACAGUGGAAAAAUAAUUCAAUGUAAGUUGUUCCAAACUAUCAUUAUCUGUAACUAUCUCGCCAUCCUCAUUUUCCAACUUCAUAAUUUUAUCUCUCCUUUUUCUAGUCUUUAUUGAAGCAUGUAAAUAUUUGGUGUUUUGGUCCGCACAAGAAAGCCAUCUCUGUUUCCCUAUUUGUCUCAUUCGGCACUCUUCUUUGAAUAGAAUAAUAUUCCAUUCAUUUUUUAGUCGUUGAACAUUGACAUCAUCAAACCCAUCUCUUGCCUCUUCUAUACGUUGCUUUAAUACCCUUUUUAAAACUUUUAGUAGAAUGAUUUAAAACUUUUUGACAAUAUUGAUUAAACUCAUUUUUUCACCAAAACUAAAAGAUAUAUAUUCCAUAGAAAUCAUUUUAGCUAAUUCUUUUUUUUAAAUUUUUUUUUAGAAUAUUGAAAUAAGGAAACGUUAGAAGAUUUGUAUCCGAAAAUUUGUGUUUGAGCUCGAUCAACUCAUAUUUUGUCAGAUGUUUUGCCUCCAAAUGCUUCCAAAAUGAUCCACAACCACCCGCUUGUUUAUGUUUGUAAGAUGCUCCACAAUAAUCAAAUUACAUAAAAAAUUUAUCGCUUUUAAAUUUCUUCGUGAAAUGAAUAGCUAAUAUGUUGAAACUUUGUCUUGGUCGUCGAACAACUUAUGUACCUUGACUUCUUCUUGUCGUAAGUUGCCUUCAUCAUUAAAUUCGGUUAUAGAGUAAUAUAGAGUAGAGAGUAGUAGAGUGUAGAGAGAUAAUUUUGUGUAAAGUGAUUAUAAAUUAAAAAGGGGUAUUUAUAGUAAAUCCAAAAAAUCAACUUUUCAAAAAUACCCUUAAAACUAGUCAUUAUAUAGCCAUCUAUAGUUGUUAGGAGGGUAAAUUUGGGGAUUUCACAAAAAUAUUUGAAAAAAUUAAAAAAAGCUUUACACUUAAAUAUUCAAAUUUUUUUGGAACUGCUAGAUCGAAUAGUCGAUUCUAACCAGAUGGAAAAAUCGCCGGUUCCGACCAGUUCACAGUUCCUCAUAAAUUGGAAUUAGAAUCGGACCGCAGACCCUCGAUUUUGGUUCCUCACGUUUCGAUUUUGGUUCCCACUGAUUCCAAACCGGCGGUUUUGAUUUUGAAAACCUUGAAAUGGCUACCCCUAUAUUGAACUGAAGGCCAAUAAAGAAUAGGCUCUCCAAUACUAGAAAUUCAUCCAACCUUAAAACUUACGAUUUUGUUUAGUAAUUCUAAAUGAAGUACAAUGUAAUAUCAUUAAAAUUAGAGAGACUAGUGACUAAUGUGUCUCUCCAAAUGUAUGAUGGCCUCAGUUUUAGGUAUGGUUUGAUUAGAGACUCAACCAGAGCUUUCUUGAACGGUUAAGAGCUUGUUAUGGAAAGUCUUCUAUUUUUGGAGCUGAGUUAUGGUCUAUCUUUGAGGGUUUCACACUGCUUUAUUUCAGAGGUUUAACCAUAUUCUUAUGUAAUAGACAUCCAUUUAUAUUAAUGACUAAACUGUAAUAUGCCAAGGACUUAAGUUGUAAUAAGAACUGGGGAAAUUGAUAACUUGUCAAGAUAGACUUGGAUAUUAGGAGAUUUUCUCUCCUAAUAUCUCGCUCAGUUUGGUAUAUGCCACCAAUCAUGUAUCUUUCCAUAUAAACCAGUCUUUAAGGCCACGGGAAGAUUAAUGUCAUUAUUAUCAAUAUAAUUAUUUGUAGAGAAAUCAAUCAUUCAUUCAAUUAUUGUUGUGAUAAUUUUAACAAAAUCAAAUUGGUGCAGUGAGCGUGGAACACACCUCACAUUUCUCAGUUUGAGAAAAACCUCAUUUUUUAACAAAAAUAUAUAUAAGACAAUUUCAAGCAUUUGAACAAUCACCAACGCAGAUAGAUGAACCCCCACAGCUGGAGCUAACGAGACUGGUAGGACUAAACCUUCAAUUGGCCCAAUUGCUCAGGCUCUUCUAAUUUCGCUUUAUUGGAACCUUAAGCCACUAUGAUGCUAGCCUAAGCACACAAUAACUUUAUAGUUGUGCUAUAACGAUCGAUGGCCACUUCAGGACCCCUGGUGUUGCAAGUAUCCACGGAUGAUCUGAUAACGUGAAGGCGUGGCAAUGUUGCUAUGGAGGAAGGAGUUGCUGUAGACAAGCAAAUAAUGGAUAUGCCCCAGGACACCGAAUCAUCUUGGUGUUCUGAUACUUAGAAAGAAUGAUAACACAUUGUGCAAUCCAUUUGGGAAACCUCUACAACAUCACUGAGGAUGACUUCCAAACAAGAACCCUUCAAGUCCUCCAAGUUAAAAUUGCAAAGGAUAAUACUGAUUAUGGGCUAAGAAACAAUUCCCCCCUCAAACAUCAUGCCAGUAAACUUUCCACCAAAAUUGAAGAUGCUUAUCUUUAAGACAUAUGAUGGAACAACUGAAUCGAGGAGUCAACUAGCUAAUUUUAAAAUAGUGAUGCGUAUCCAGACCAGUGUGGAUGCAUUGCUAUGCUUAACUUAAGAUUGGUUCCAGAUACUAAAGAAAAGAUCAAUCAAUUCCUUUCACACCUAGUUGCCUCAUUCAAAGCUUAGUUUAUCACCUAUAUACGGAGCAAGAAGAUCUCAUCAGUCCUUAUUAAUCUUAAGAGAAUAGAGGAUGAGUCAUUGAGACAUUGCCUAUCCAUAUUCCAAAAGCUGGGUAUAAAAGUGGAAGAUCUAAACUCUAAAUCGCCUUUAGUUCCAUGGCAAAAACUAUAAGUAUGGUAAACUAUUUGACUCCCUUAAUAUUGAUCAACCAUAUUCUUUUUCAGAGUUGAUGGCGAUGGUGAAUAACUUUGCAAGACUAGACAAGGCCUGGAGGGCUCGGCAAGCCCAAGCCAAAGGCACCAAGGAAAAGAGAAGGAAAAAAAAUAAAAUAAAAGGAGGUCGCCAUCAAGUCUAGCAAACUGAGUCAUUCAAGUAUGAGUUAUUCCGCUUGUACCCCAUAUUCAAGAGUUAGAGACUAUAAUAAGAGAGGAAGAUUUCAGUCCCUUAGUUAGGAGCAGCUCAACCAUAUCGAGGAGUAUGCAGAAGAAAAAGGAUGAGAUCCAAAUUAACUAUCCUAAGAAAUUGAGAGAGGAGUCAGCAGCUUACAGUGACUACCUAAAUUAUACACAUAGAUAUCCAAGCCAGACUUGAAAAAUCCACCAAAACAGACUUGAAUUGGACGAACCAAAAUUAGUGUGAAAUCGACAGGCAAGUUACAUUAAUUCGCCCAUAAUUCUCUCUACAAAAUGAAUUUUAAGGCAAGGAACCGACAAAAACUAGACAGCAAAACUUUCCAACAGUAUAUCACAGGCAAAAAUUGAAGCUAAAACGAGCCAUGAACCGACUAAAUCAAGUGAAGGAUCAUACCGAGGUAGAAAAGACCAACUGGCUGAUCAACAUAGUCUGACCAAUGCUCAAGGUCGGUCGGUCGACCCUGAUUGCUGGUCAACCCCAGUUGGCUAGGUUUGACUAUUGUGAACACCUAAAUUCUAUACUCUGGAUAUCCAAACCAGACCUAAAAAUUCAUCAAAUUGGACAUAAAUCAAACGAACCAAAAUCUGGGCAAAAACAGACCGACAAUUUGCAUUGAUUCAGCCAUAAUCCUUUUCAAAGUGGGAAUUUCAAGAAAAGGUUAGUGUCAAUGGAAGCUAGACUAGAAGAAUUUUUCAACAGUAUAUUACAGGCCGAAAUUGGAAUUGAAUUGGGCCUCGAACGAAACGAAUCCAAACGAAAAAAAGACUGUAAAAGCCGAAAAUUGCACUAGACUGGCGGCUAGUUGCUUGGCUGUGGUGCUCUGGCGAGGUCCUAAGAGACAUAAUUUUCUUCUCUUAACUUUUAUCAUGAGGAUGUAAGACCUCAAACUGUCAAAUUUCAAGUUUAAAUUUUAAAUUCGCUAUUCCUAAAUUUGGUAUUAAAUUAAUAAAUUGGGAUGAUUAUUUCAACACUGAAUAGUAUAUCUAAUUAAUCCUAAAAUAGACAAUGAUAAAUUUUUGACUUAAACGAAUUGGUUAUAUAAGGAUGUUAAAAAUAAAAAUUUUAAUUAAUAAACCAAGUUUUAGCUAAACAUAAUCUCUUGGUUAUUGUUAUUACUAUAGCUAAUUAGAUUAUCGAACUAUUGAGUAAUGCAUGCUUAAGAAUACUAAUUUAGGAUUAGUAAAUUAAUUAGUAUGCUUUAUAGUGGAAGAAUAUGUGUGCAUAUACUAUACAUAGACUGUGAAUGUCCAUAUAAUUCUUUCUUUUUCUUUCAUUCUUUCAUUUAUAAAUUGUUAUGAGGUAUUAAAAUGUUGGUGACAAAGUUGAGUUGGAUUAGAAACUGAAUUGAUAUCCUACUAUUUGGGGAGAUGCUAUCCAAUUUUGAAAAUAUUUAUAGAUAACUAUUUUAGUUAUAUAUAUUCCAUAGACCUUAAUUACCAAGAGAACUAGAAGCUUCAUUACUGUUAUCAUUGUUAUAACUAAAGAAUCUGGUAGGUGACACAGGUAAUAGUUAUGAAUUAGAAUAAAUAAAGAAAUAAAGAAAAUUGUAAUUGAAUAGUUUGAUAAGUGAAGGUAAAUAACUAUAGUGAUUGUAACUAGUUAAUGAAUUAGAACUAAAUUUCUCGAGUUAGAAAUUUUUACUUAGAAUUUCCUUUCUACAUGCUUAUAGAGUUCUAGAAUGGCACGUCGAUAGCUUGAAAUGGGCAGUAAUAAAGAUAGUAUUGUUAGGACAAUAAUAAACUGUGAGUAGAGUUAGAUAAUCCUCAUUGCUUAUGCAUUGUACAUUCAUGCAUAUAUAAAUAAUACUUUAACUAUGUAAAAUAUGCAUACAUAUAGAAAUUACAUAUAGCUAUGUAUUUCAUGUUUUGUACCGAAUAUAUAUUUAUAUAUUACAAUAUAUGGGUAUGCUUUAUACUAUGUUCUCUGUUGAAUAUGUGAAAUUCUGUGAUUGGAUAUGAUUUGUUUUUGUUGUGCCGUGGAGUUAGAAUAAUGUGGGUCAUCUUGGGGUGAGAGCAUGAGUAUAUAUAUGGUGAGAAUACUAUCAGUGAGCUGUAAGCGGAUGGAGUGGCACCUCCUGUGCACUCCUCGAUUUUGAUGCACAUCAAUGAUAAAAAAACAUUAUAUAAGUGCCCGAUAAGGUCUACUCCUUAAGUGCACUUGACACAAAGAUUGGUAGAUUUACUAAUUCCAGAACAUUAUAUAAAGCAUGCUUUGGGGGUGAGCAUGAUCCUUAUUUAUAAAGGGACACUGCAGACUAAUAUGUAUUGUUUGAUCACUUGAACUCUUGUGAAUUAUUUGAUACGUACGCAUUCAUACUCGCUUGUUCAUUCAUGAAUAGCAGGACGGCUGUAAAUAAAUUAUUAUAUUAUUCAUAUGUCUGAUCAUGUGAGAAGGUUAUUUAACCCUACUCAUUGAGUUUAGGCACGCAACUCUGCCGUAAUAUUUUUUUAAGCUUUAAGAAGAAAAAGAGUCCUAUGGAAGCAAAUAGAUUGAACUACUGACGAACAAAAAUAUUAAUGGAUGUAUAGUUUUAUUGAGUACAAAUGCAUGUAGGAAAGAUUGUUAUUUAUAGAGUCCCGCAAUUGUAUUCCAAGUGUGUUGUAAUUAAAAGAUACAUAUGCAUUUAUUAUAUAAAUUAUAUUUAUGAAAUGUAUGUAAAUUAUUAGAUUAAGUCUACUAAGCUUUUGAACUGGAUUAUUGAAUGGUUGAAAUGACCUAACAACUUUGUUUUGAGAUUAUUUAUGAUGGGCCUAAGGCCUAGUUUGAUGACAAGUUAUAAAUCCAUUUAGGUUCAUGCUUACUGUGUGCUUUGGAGGCCUUAUGUUCACCCAGGUUCUAAUAACAAUCUGGUCCUUGAAAACAGAUCGUUACAUUAACUCUCUUUGUGUUUUCAAAAUAUUUUUCAUGACACAAAAAAAAAAAAAAUGUAAUUUAAUAGUUGAUGAAGCAUUAACUUAAUAAUAGAAAAACGAAAAGGAAAAUAGGAAAAAAAAAUGCUCCCUCCAUUCUAUUUAUAUAGAAAAAAAUUUCCUUUUUGGGCAUUCUAUUUAUGUAGAGAAAAUUUCUUAAUAUGGUAACUUUGGGACUAAUACCAAAGCAAAAAGUCGAAUAUGCCCUUAUUUUGGUUUAUAGAUUAAAUAUUGACUUUAAGAAUAUUUCAAGAAAGUGGCAGACAUUAUUGUGGUUGACAUUUAAUGUUAAAAAAUUGACUGAAUCAUGCAUUAAGAAAAUGUCAAAUUCAAGUCUAUUAUGUGCACAGAUUAAAUUUCACCAAAAAGCUUAUGCUUAACUUUUAAGUGUGCAUAUAUAAUGAAAUUUACUCAUAACUCUAAUAAAUCCUGAAUGGAGGAAAAUUUCCUCUCAAACGACUGUGCUAAAAUAAAAAUAGUUGUGCCAAUUUAUAUUUACUCCGAUGAACUCCUUAAUUGGCUAAAAAGAGAGAUACAGAACUUAAACCCUAAUUUCAUUGCUUAAAUAAAACUAGUUGUGCGCAUUUUUGCAUUAUGUCAAAUUCUAUAAAUUGUUUUAGCAGAUAUAGAUACAACAUCUGCAACUUUAUCAAUACUGCGAGCAUUUGAUUCUUCCCUUUCUGUUUCAGAACACAGUAACAUACAAACUGUAUUUUUCACAUCUACAAUGAUGUUUUUCCUUUUGUUGCUCUUUUCGGGCCUCUUUUGGAACGUUAAUUGGUAGUAGUGUGGUUUCGGAUUUUACAGAAAGCGGUUGUUCAGUGUAUGGUAAGGAGAUCAAGUCUAAGUGUUGAUUGUUGAGCAUGGGCACAUCUUCUGAAGUUGCAAGCAAGUUUUGAGAGACUGUAUUCAAAUCAAAAGGAAGGAAUGUGUCCAUGACGUUUGUGAAUUAAAUUUUAGCUUUGUGAACUCAUUCCUAUUUAGAUGAAUUCAGCUUUGAAAAUUUUGGCUCUAACUUUCAUUUUUUUCGCUUAAAUUUGGAGAAGCAAAAUAAAGAAUUUAAGGUUGAAAAUUUUGGCUAUGAACUUUCUUUCAACUUUCACUUCAAUUUUUUUAAUCAAAAUUUGAUAUUAAAAUUUUAAUGCGCAAUUGCAAUUAAACGGCCCACGUUUUUUUUUUUUUUUUGUUAUCAGAAGUUUAAAAAAAUAAAACGCCUUAUUUAAGCAACAGAUCCUUUCUCUCAUCAUUUAUCACGUUUUAUUGAAAAUUGGGGACCACUUUAAUAUCUUUUUAGGGGUAAAUUAAAAAAAAAUCCACAAAAAGAUCACAUCCUUAAUCCUAGAUAAAUUUUGACUUUCUCUAUAUAAAUAGAAUGGAGGAAGAAUUAAUCAAUACUCAAUAGAAAAAAUUUUCCGUUUGUUUUAUAAAUAAUAGGAAGAAGUUAAAAAUAAAAUUUAUUUUUUUAUAAAUUAAAAUUGAAUAGAAUUUUAUUUGACAAUAUUAACUAUUUUAGUAACUUUUAACUAAUUUUUAGCUAAAUAUUUAUAGAUGCCCCACCCAUGAACAUAAAUAACAGUGAGUACAUUCAUUUUAGAUAGGUCGAGUAUUUUAUUCAAUAAACCAAAUACACGAAAGAGGGAGUCAUGAUGGUAUUGACUAAAAAUUGGAAACUUUCAUAUCAAUACAUAAAUUUAUCAAUUAAAGCAAUACAGUACACAUAAAACAACUUUAAAGAAGAUGAAGUAAUGUAAUAUAAAUUAGGAGAAUUCGAUCUCAAAAUACCAUUUGGUGUGAUCCUUCGUUCCCCUUAAAAUCCAAUAUUUGACAAUUCAUUUUGGGCACUGAUUAAGGUCACGUUGGUAUGAGUUGCAUCGUGGAGGAUUUUUACGACUUUUACGUGGAAGGCAGUAGCGUUUCCCCCGACCGCAAUCAAGAGUAGAACGGCGUUUUCCCGUUACGCCAGUUACAACUUUGGUGCUAGCUGCAAGCAUUCUGUUAGUCUCGGAGUCCAUCAUCAACUCUAAUUCCAUGUUGGUGUCUGCCAUGGAAAAGGAAAAGGAGUUGCUGCUAAUCAUUUCCUGCGGAGUACUGACAGCUCGCAGACAACUGCUUCUGCUCAUCAGAAUCAAAAUCCCCACCACCGCUAGAGAAAGACUCCUCAUUCUGCCUUUUUUUUUUUUGUACUAUUUUCUAGUGUCGGUGUUUAUUUCAUAUGCAAAUACAGCUGUGGGGAGAGCUCUAAAUAGCAAAUUGGUGGUUUUUUGAC
rnacentral:lncRNA from 1 species